ensembl:snoRNA
GGGGUGUACUCAGAGCAGGGCCCCCAAAAUGGCUGGUCUAUUAAUAGCACACCCAAAAGGAAUCUGGGGUUAGUCUUCAUAGGGGACCAAAACAC